rnacentral:rRNA from 1 species
GAUGAACGCUGGCGGCGUGCCUAAUACAUGCAAGUCGAGCGAAUGGAUUAAGAGCUUGCUCUUAUGAAGUUAGCGGCGGACGGGUGAGUAACACGUGGGUAACCUGCCCAUAAGACUGGGAUAACUCCGGGAAACCGGGGCUAAUACCGGAUAACAUUUUGAACCGCAUGGUUCGAAAUUGAAAGGCGGCUUCGGCUGUCACUUAUGGAUGGACCCGCGUCGCAUUAGCUAGUUGGUGAGGUAACGGCUCACCAAGGCAACGAUGCGUAGCCGACCUGAGAGGUGGAUCGGCCACACUGGGACUGAGACACGGCCCAGACUCCUACGGGAGGCAGCAGUAGGGAAUCUUCCGCAAUGGACGAAAGUCUGACGGAGCAACGCCGCGUGAGUGAUGAAGGCUUUCGGGUCGUAAAACUCUGUUGUUAGGGAAGAACAAGUGCUAGUUGAAUAAGCUGACACCUUGACGGUGCCUAACCAGAAAGCCACGGCUAACUACGUGCCAGCAGCCGCCGUAA